rnacentral:rRNA from 1 species
CGCGCAGGUGGUUUCUUAAGUCUGAUGUGAAAGCCCACGGCUCAACCGUGGAGGGUCAUUGGAAACUGGGAGACUUGAGUGCAGAAGAGGAUAGUGGAAUUCCAAGUGUAGCGGUGAAAUGCGUAGAGAUUUGGAGGAACACCAGUGGCGAAGGCGACUAUCUGGUCUGUAACUGACACUGAGGCGCGAAAGCGUGGGGAGCAAACA